rnacentral:rRNA from 1 species
UACAGAGGGUGCGAGCGUUAAUCGGAAUGACUGGGCGUAAAGGGCGAGUAGGCGGGUAUAUAAGUGAGGUGAUAAAGACAUGGGCUUAACCUAUGGGUGACACCUUAGACUGUAUAUCUAGAGACGAGGAGAGGGGAGUGGAAUUUCCGGAGGAGUGGUGAAAUACGUAGAUUUCGGAAGGAACACCGGUGGCGAAGGCGACUCUCUGGCCUUGUUCUGACGCUGAGGAGCGAAAGCGUGGGUAGCAAACAGGAUUAGAUACCCUGGUAGUCCACGCAGUAAACGAUGAAUACUAGACGUAAGUGGAAGAGAGUCCAUUUGUGUCGAAGCUAACGCGAUAAGUAUUCCGCCUGGGGAGUACGGCCGCAAGGUUGAA